UCAGACGAUGCGUCAUGCAUAUCAAUAAGCGGAGGAAAAGAAACUAACAAGGAUUCCCCUAGUAACGGCGAGUGAAGCGGGAAGAGCUCAAAUUUGAAAUCUUAAAGGGUUUCCCUUUACGAAUUGUAGUUUAAAGAAGUGUUUUCUGUUGAGGUUUUGGUAAAAGUUCUUUGGAAUAGGACAUCAUAGAGGGUGAGAAUCCCGUAUUUGACCUUUACUUUCAACUUUGUGAUACACUUUCAAAGAGUCGGAUUGUUUGGGAAUGCAGUCCAAAAUGGGUGGUAAAUUUCAUCUAAAGCUAAAUAUUGGCGAGAGACCGAUAGCGAACAAGUACCGUGAGGGAAAGAUGAAAAGAACUUUGAAAAGAGAGUUAAACAGUACGUGAAAUUGUCAAAAGGGAAGCGUUUGACACCAGUGUUGUUUUUCUGAAAAUCAAUUAAAGAACUGUUUAUGCUAAGCUGUUUAGACUUUAUCAGCUAUCUGUUUAGUUUUGAGCUUUUCUUUAAUGCACUUUUCAGUUAACAAGUCAACAUCAAUUUCUUUUGCUGUAAAAAAGCUUGAGGAAGGUGGCUUGAGAUUCGUCUUAAGUGUUUAUAGCCUCUUGCCUAUGCAGUCGGAGAGAUUGAGGUCUGCAGCGUAGAUCCUUCGGGGCUAAAUGCAUUUGUGCUAAGUUAUAGCAUUUUAUAGACAACUUGUUGACUAUGAUUUGUCUUGUAGCUUACUCGCUUAUGUUAUUUUACCUACGCUUAGGAUGUUGACACACGCGCGUGCUCG
rnacentral:rRNA from 1 species